rnacentral:rRNA from 1 species
UUUUUAAUCCAUAUCCACCUUGUGUGCAAUGUCAGUCGAUCUUCUUCAUGGAGAUCGACCAAACAUCAACCUUUAUUUUUUAACUCUUUGUCUGAAAAAUAUUAUGAAUAAACAAUUCAAAAUACAACUUUCAACAACGGAUCUCUUGGCUCUCGCAUCGAUGAAGAACGCAGCGAAAUGCGAUACGUAAUGUGAAUUGCAGAAUUCAGUGAAUCAUCGAAUCUUUGAACGCAUAUUGCGCUCUUUGGUAUUCCGAAGAGCAUGCUUGUUUGAGUAUCAGUAAACACCUCAAAGCUUUUGGAUUUUUUAAUCGAAAAGCUUUGGACUUGAGCAAUCCCAACACCAAUCUUUUUGAGAUCGGUGGCGGGUUGCUUGAAAUGCAGGUGCAGCUGGACAUUCUCCUGAGCUAAAAGCAUAUUCAUUUAGUCCCGUCAAACGGAUUAUUACUUUUGCUGCAGCUAACAUAAAGGGAGUUUGACCGUAUUGGCUGACUGAUGCAGGAUUUCACAAGGGUCGGCAACGAUUCUUGUUAAACUCGAUCUCAAAUCAAGUAAGACUACCCGCUGAACUUAAGCAUAUCAUAACCCCGAAGAAAAAAAAAA